rnacentral:rRNA from 1 species
AGUGAAUAAUUCAACGGCCGCGGUACCCUAACCGUGCAAAGGUAGCAUAAUCAUUCGUCUAUUAAUUGUAGACCAGUAUGAAAGGCAACAUGAGGGCCUAACUGUCUCUUGUAAUAAAUCAAUUAAACUGAUCUUCUAGUAAAAAAGCUAGAAUCUUUCCAUAAGACCAGAAGACCCUGUGAAGCUUAAACUAAACUAUUAAAACACAUAAUAACUACUUUCGGUUGGGGCGACCCUGGAAAAAAAAAGAACUUCCAACAAUAACAUACCAAACUACACAGGCCCACAAGCCACAUACCAGUGACCCAGCACAGCUGAUCAUUGAACCAAGUUACUCCAGGGAUAACAGCGCCAUCUUCUUUAAGAGCCCAUAUCAAAAAGAAGGUUUACGACCUCGAUGUUGGAUCAGGACAUCCUAA